rnacentral:rRNA from 1 species
CGAACUUUUGGGAGCUUGCUCCCAAAAGUUAGCGGCGGACGGGUGAGUAACACGUGGGCAACCUGCCUAUAAGACUGGGAUAACUUCGGGAAACCGGAGCUAAUACCGGAUAACAUAUGAGACCACAUGGUCUCAUAUUAAAAGAUGGCUUUUAGCUAUCACUUAUAGAUGGGCCCGCGGCGCAUUAGCUAGUUGGUGAGGUAAUGGCUCACCAAGGCGACGAUGCGUAGCCGACCUGAGAGGGUGAUCGGCCACACUGGGACUGAGACACGGCCCAGACUCCUACGGGAGGCAGCAGUAGGGAAUCUUCCGCAAUGGACGAAAGUCUGACGGAGCAACGCCGCGUGAGCGAAGAAGGUCUUCGGAUCGUAAAGCUCUGUUGUUAGGGAAGAACAAGUACCGUUCAAAUAGGGCGGUACCUUGACGGUACCUAACCAGAAAGCCACGGCUAACUACGUGCCAGCAGCCGCGGUAAUACGUAGGUGGCAAGCGUUAUCCGGAAUUAUUGGGCGUAAAGCGCGCGCAGGCGGUCCUUUAAGUCUGAUGUGAAAGCCCACGGCUCAACCGUGGAGGGUCAUUGGAAACUGGGGGACUUGAGUGCAGAAGAGGAGAGCGGAAUUCCACGUGUAGCGGUGAAAUGCGUAAAGAUGUGGAGGAACACCAGUGGCGAAGGCGGCUCUCUGGUCUGUAACUGACGCUGAGGCCCGAAAGCGUGGGGAGCGA